UACGUAGGUGGCAAGCGUUGUCCGGAUUACUGGGCGUAAAGAGCGCGCAGGCGGUCGUUCAAGUCGCGUGUGAAAGCCCCCGGCUCAACUGGGGAGGGUCACGCGAUACUGAUCGACUCGAAGGCAGGAGAGGGUAGUGGAAUUCCCGGUGUAGUGGUGAAAUGCGUAGAGAUCGGGAGGAACACCCGUGGCGAAGGCGGCCAACUGGGCCGGACCUGACGCUGAGGCGCGAAGGCGUGGGGAGCGAACGGG
rnacentral:rRNA from 1 species